ensembl:lncRNA
AGAUGCUCUAGAACUGUGCAUGGUUAAAAAGUUAACGUGUAGUUUGCCCCAAGGUGUCUGCCUCCUUACCCAGAGCAAGACCUCCACCUCCUCACCCAGAGCAAGACCUCCACCUCCGGUCAGAAGUCCUCCAGAACAGCUGAAAGGUGAGGCUGAGAGGCUUGGGACCGGAGGCUUGUGGCGCCAGGAUGGACCGGAGACUGAGGCUGGAGACCAGUGGCCUGCAGCACUGGACCAGAGGGUAACCAUAACCAAGCUCAUCUGAAACACUAAAAUCCAUGGUAGUUUAGGUCUGGUUUUGAUCAUCUUAUGACUUUAAAUCUGUGCCAAGCUGUGAUUUGAGUUAAUUCAUACGGGGGUUAUGCAAGAGUCAUAUGAGCCAUUAUUGUUACUAGUGCUGCUACAACCGUAGUGGAUGAAUUGCUCAACGUGACAAUCUGCAGACAUAUUUAAGUGUUUAAAUAUGUUUCAAUUUGUCUUCCAUUUUACAAGUGAACCUCAGAUGCAGGAGGUGGGGUGUGUUGCGUCCCCAUUGUAGUCUUGACAACCAUAAGAAACCACCUGGCAGUUAGUUGGACUGGAGCCCCCUGAGGGAAAUCUGGCGGAACGUUCUGGAUUGUAUUUGCGUAACCUCGAGCCGUUGCCAACGGAAACAAUUUUUCAGUCGUUUCCAUUGGGAAUUGUUGCCCGUUAUCUUAAACAACUUAAGUUUGAUAUUAAAUGCAUAUUGACACGUACGUCGUAUAUGUUGAUAAUUUCUGCUCCCCAUUUACUGCUGAGACCAACUGUGUUUGUAACCAGACCAAGAAUCCAUGGCUGAAGGAGCUGAUGGAGGAGGCGUACUGAAGGAGCUGAUGGAGUCGUGCUGAAGGCCCUGCCUAGUGGAGGAGCUGAUGGAGGCCCUGCCUGGUGAAGGACGUCUGUCGUGGGACCAGGACACUGGCUGAGGAGAGCUGAUGGAGGAGCCAAGAGUCUGGAGGACGACAUCACUCUACCAACCAGGAUCCUCACCAGGAAUCUGGAGGACUGAUGGAGAAGCUUUAUAUCUGGAAGGCAAAUCCUGAGGACCACCAGGACUCUACCAUCAAGGAUUCCUCACACACCUGAGCUGAACCCUACCUGAUCCUGUUUGGUCGGGGGUAGACACACCUGAGCUAAACCCGUCCUGAUCCUGACAUCCUGCUGGUCCUGUCUCCUCAGUUCAUCUGAGCCUCGUCCUCCAGAAGACCUGCUGAGCUCAGCAGUCUGAGGCUGAUGGAUCAAUGACCUCCAGUGGGAGUGAUCUUCUUGACCCCACAUGUAACCGUGUGCUUCCACACGCCUUUCUCUCACGUCUGUCACUAACCUCACUACUUCACUACUCUCUACUGCUUCCUCUUUUCUUCCUUCUCUGUGGUUCAAACCUUUACACUGAAGGCGCGUCUUCCUGCCCUCAGAGGGUUUAGCAUUAGGGUUGAGAGUCAGGGUUUAGAGUCAGGGACAGAGCUGUUCAGGGAGGACUGCUUUUACACAAACCUCUUCACUUGCUUUCGGAAUGGUGGUGUCAUUUUGAAAAGAUUCAUUUGGG